rnacentral:rRNA from 1 species
AGAGUUUGAUCCUGGCUCAGAUUGAACGCUGGCGGCAGGCCUAACACAUGCAAGUCGAGCGGUAGAGAGAAGCUUGCUUCUCUUGAGAGCGGCGGACGGGUGAGUAAUGCCUAGGAAUCUGCCUGGUAGUGGGGGAUAACGCUCGGAAACGGACGCUAAUACCGCAUACGUCCUACGGGAGAAAGCAGGGGACCUUCGGGCCUUGCGCUAUCAGAUGAGCCUAGGUCGGAUUAGCUAGUUGGUGAGGUAAUGGCUCACCAAGGCGACGAUCCGUAACUGGUCUGAGAGGAUGAUCAGUCACACUGGAACUGAGACACGGUCCAGACUCCUACGGGAGGCAGCAGUGGGGAAUAUUGGACAAUGGGCGAAAGCCUGAUCCAGCCAUGCCGCGUGUGUGAAGAAGGUCUUCGGAUUGUAAAGCACUUUAAGUUGGGAGGAAGGGCAUUAACCUAAUACGUUGGUGUCUUGACGUUACCGACAGAAUAAGCACCGGCUAACUCUGUGCCAGCA